rnacentral:lncRNA from 1 species
UCUGCUCUGGUGGCUGAUGCUGCCGGCUCCAAUGGAGUGGAGAGACUCGGAGUUGCUCGUACUGCCCGCUGCUGCUGCUCUCGGAGACGGGAGUGACGGUCCGACGGACCCGUGAUGAUUAUAGUAUUAUUAUCGCUGUCACUUGUGUCGUGGGGGCGACAUGAUUGGUGCCCAACGUGGUGUACUGUACUGGGCUGCGGCUGCAACUUUCUUUCGGCCUUGCGCUCGGCUCGGAGCGCGCGGUACUCGAUAAAGAGAGCCCGAGUGUACGUUAACGGUACCUGGCAGGCACGACGUGAGAAAUGCAGGUUGAGUCUUCCUGCAACUAGCUCGUUUUCCGUUGAAAAAAGGGAAUCAAUUAGCUAGUAGCAAAUCGACAGUGAAGUCAAUAUUUGCGCUCUUGCAGCCCUCAGCCUGAUGCUUGACAAAUGUAUGAUCAGCUUUGGUGUUCAAGGUACACAUAUAUCUUCUACGUUCUAUUGUAUGUUGUUUUAGCAAAUUUUAAUUAUGUAUCUAGACACAAUGUAUAUUUAAAUGGAUAAAAAAUAUAUAUCUAGAAAAGUUAAAAUAAAUUAUAAUUUGGAACGGACAAACAUUCAACUAUCAGUUUAGUACCUAGUGCAAGUAAUUAUUUUAUACUAAAUAGAUUUAGAGAAACUUUGUACAACGACAUCAUCCACGGACCACGGCAACAAGGAUUUUCAUAUCGAGGCUAGCGUGGAUAUGUUCGCUCGUCUAAUCCUAUGGGAAUAUAGGCGGACUGCAAAGAUGGACACGUGAAUGGAAUCAAUUCCCGGGCCUCUGUUAAGUCUCAAUAUAUUCCAAAUUCCCAACCUAGUUGCAUCUGCAGAACUUGCGACGGCAUUACAUCAUGCUCAAAAACACCCUGAACCACGUCGUGCUGAAAAGCACUUCAUUUUGGGUGGAUGGAUGAACGAAUCGAGAAAAGGAAGAACAAUGGAGUUAUCUAUAACUGCACAAGAGGUUCUUAAACUAGGGUUUCGGUUGUUCAAAAAAUAAUCUUAGAAAUUUUUGAGGUUUCUCCUUUUUUAUAAUUACUUUUAGAACCUAGUUAAUAUAUAGCCGGCCGUAUUUUGACCUUUCUUUACGGCACACCCAAAUUUAGAAAGUAUUGUUGUGGAAAUGUGUAUCUUUUCUAAUUUAGCCACAGAGAGUUGCAUGCAUUCACAUGACAAGUGUGAAUGCGUGAAAAAAGAGAUUAAAUCAUCUUCAUAUGCUUAUAUUUCCUAAAUUAUACAUCGGAGUUAGGAUCCGUUUGCACCGCUAUAAUUCUUAUAUUUUUAUUAACACAAAACAAGAUCAACCUAUCUAUAUUUUGAAGCGAUAUUUUAAUGGACACAGAAUUUGCCUAUACCAGACUAAAAAAGACAUUAAAAAAUCAAAUAAAAUGGCUAUGAGUGUUCACGAAAAUUUCCUACAUCUUUGACACAAAAAGUAUUCACUCUUUCCACUUAAUGAUCUGGUCAUCUUAAAAUGCCUCCAUAUCAUUAGUGCACUCUUCUCAUCAAGGGCAUCAUUAUCUACUACCAACCAACUUAUAAAAGCAAUUUUUUAGAAACAUAUAAGCAUAUUUUUGAAAAAUCAUAAGUAGAUUAGAAUAAAGAAAAAACAUUUACUACCAUAAAAAAAUUGCCAUCUAAACAUAUGCAAGUGAGAUCUUGUCUUGAAGGUACCGUUGAGAAGAAUACAAUAAUCUAAUCGGAUUUUAAUUUGGAUGCUUGCUUUUGAAUCUAUGAUAUUUUUAAGUUUUGAAACCAUAUUGCAUGUGAUAUGUCAUUUAAUUGUACUUGUCUCUGCAUAUAGGAGUGUGUCAGUGUGGAAGAGAGAAGUGAAAAAUAGUCUCGCCCCCACAUGGUGCUUGGAUGGUCACAAGCAUGUGGACGACUAUAGUCGUUCCGCACGGCGCAUCCGUAAAGGAGUCUUUACCUUUUAUUUUUAAUUGAGAUUUUUUUUCCCUACAAAACACGGAUAGCCAGCUUGUUAAUGAGAUGGUAGACAAGGUGGUUUUACUAAUAACUACAUAAUAGUAAAGUUUAUAUAUUUUCAGUGUAAAAACUCUGAUUUUUACUACUUUCAUUCCGUAGCAGUGGUAUAGAUAAUAAGAAGACGAGAACCAAAAUUAUACAAAGAAAAUGUGCCACGGCGAAAAAUUCAGGAGAUGUAUUCUGCGGUGGGCUUCCUGUCGUUGGGCUGCGUUGCGGGCCGGCAGCCCGCGUGGUCUUCGCUCCAUGUCGACACGUAGAAACAUUCGAGAUAGACCUACAUUCGCAUCCGCAACUAUGAAAAAUGGGGGAUUAGGAACAGGUAAAACGCACUUGUGAGAUAACAUUAUGAUCAAUUUUCGUAGCCUUCCUUCCUCUAUUGAACUUUCUGGCGCCACUGGUGCGCAAUCGACUUGGCGAAUAAUAGGUCUGAACCAUUUCCAAUAGCAAGCUUCAAGUCCGGUAACUCGCGUCGUCGCAGGCAUCCAAUUCUUGUAACAAAAACAAGAAGCACCCAGCUGCGCCGUGCCAUCACUUGCUUCGACGUCCUAAACAAGCUGCAAUAAUUCAUGGCACCUUUAUUCUUGCGAGCUCUGGCGCACUGGAACGGGCUAUAAAUACCUCGUCCCCUGCGCUCCCAGUCCAUCAGGUCCAAAGCAUCAAAUUCGAGCUUCCUUCAAGCAGCGUUACAGCAGAGCAGUAGCACAAGAGCGAUGGCAUCCAUGAAGGCCGUGAAGAUCGCCGGAGCUGCAGCGCAGGCCAAGGAGCCGGCGCCCAAGCUCAGCGAGACGGCGACGAAGCCGUCAGCCGCCAAGAGCGGCGUCAAGAAGGCCGAGCAGAAGCCCCGGGAGCCGAAGAAGAAGGUAUAGCACUGCGGCUGCCGUUAUACAUGGAAACCUUGUUGCCUUAUUGCUGCCGUUACCUGUGUGCUCUUUUCGUGACGAUGUGCUCCGCGUGAAACCAGGUGAAGAGCAGCAAGCCGGCGGCAGCCAAAAAGUGACAAUGGAAGCUAAGUGAAAUGGAGCUUGCGCGAGGGGGCUUCCACCAUGCUAUGAUACCAAUUAUUACAAAUCAAGUCUUUACCUUCUUCUGUCUUAAUGAUGUCAUGACCUUCGUAUGUCCUUAGUUGGACGGGUCUUGAGGGCGUGUGCACCCUACCCUGAUCAAUACUGCAAAUAAAACUAUCGUAACUAAUGGUAUCGCGUUCAUCUUUUGAUCACGAUUGAUGUUCCUGUGGCUCCUUCCACUUGUGAAUCUG